rnacentral:misc_RNA from 1 species
CAUCAUCUAGAGUCUGUGCAGGUGGUGUAGAAGAAGAAGAAACACGGGUUGCUAGAUUAUACCCAUUUAACAGAGGAAGGAUCUGCCCUUUCCAUAGGAGGUAGUUUGAGGAGGCAAGCUUAACUGAUAAUAGUUGAGAAACGUUUGGGACUGAGGAAGAAGAAAUGGGGACAGGAGAUGAUGAAGUAUUUGUUGCCAUGGAUGGCCUGUGUUAGCUCUGAUACCAUGAAAGUGUUUGGGUUGAACUUAUAUUUUGUAUUAUUGAAGUUGUGAAUAUAUGCAACAUAAAGAGUGGUAUCGUAUCUAAAG